AGACACAUUGAACAAAAAGGCUGUAUGGCUAGGGAGAAUUUCUAGGUUUGAUUUUGAAUCUCAGGUAGGACCAAACGAGGUCUCU